CUCUCUUUAACUCAGGUGACCUGAGUGUUUCUAUGUGUUGCUUUCUUAGGUGUCUUCAGUGAGUGCUGGGAGGGUAAAUCAGGCAAGAUCAGAACUUCAGACAUGGGUACAUUUGGGAAGAACAUACAAUUGAAGACCAUUUUCAAACUUCUAGAAGUCAUGGAAGCUCUGGGCAGCUUCUACUGUCGACCUCUGUCUCUUCUUUCUGAGCUACCUGUCUGUCUGUACUGCACCUCCAAGCUCAAACUAUUUGAGACAGACAGAAAUCUUUGAGAAGGGCCCAUGGUAAAUCCAGACCAACAAGGAUGUCCGGAUCAACAUGGAGGAUUUUGGUGAUUCCCAGCACAUUCCAUGAACCCAAGAAUUAUGCAAACCAAUUCAGCUCAACUUUUGUUUUAGUUGUGAACCUGCACAACUUGGUGAGGAACUAGAUGGCUCAGCAAAACCAGCAACUCCACUAAGAAUCCAAUUUUCCCCAUCCCUUAAUUUCACAUCUUAGCAUUGGUUUUUCAUGCGAGAAUCUCCAGUAAGUUUUGAAAACUGUGUUUCAGCCUAUAGGUGUGAUGCCUUCUGUAGACUCAGUUGUUACUCUGCUCUACUAUAGGAUGCCACCUGUGUAAGUUCCUAGCUCAGCUUGCAAAUGCUUUGGAGUCUGAAAUGAAAGACAAACAGCUUUAUUUAAUAUGCCAAAUCAGCUCAUUAGAUGGGACACUCCCAAUCAUCCACAUUGCUAAUGACUCCUCUAUGGCACUCCUGAAUUACUAAAAUCUAUAGCCCAUCUCUGCUUCCCCAGAACCAAUCAGAAGAGGGAACACUGGGACUACUCUUCCACAGCUCUUAUGUGGCUGGUAUUCUGUCUUUCCCAUCUCUCAAGCCAGCAUCCAAUUCCUUUACUGGCAUGGAGAUCCUUUUUGUUCCCCUUGUCAUGAAUCCAAAAAUCCUGCCUGUGUCUCCUCCCUAGCCAUUGGCUGCUGGCACUUUACUUUCCCAGUUAUAAUCAGCUUGGGGCAGGGAAUCUCAGUGUCUCAAAUGCAAGAUUAUUAUGAAAUUUGGGAACAAUUUAACAUGAGUAGCAUGAGAACCAAUAAACAAUUGGGAAUAAACAGAAAAACACGGCAAAUCCAAGCACCAGGCCCUAAGUAUUGCCUUUUGGUUAUUACCCUCCAUUUACUCAUAUGGUGAAACUACGUUCAAGUUUCCAGGCAUCAGGUAUUGUGGAGGUCCAACCUAACUUUACUCAUAUUUUGUUCUUGAAAACAUAAUGACUGUCUCUAAUAAAGCUUUCUGCUUUUCAUAGUGUGCUUCUCAAAACAUAACACCUGUUCUUUACCACCAAAGAACAAAUCCAAAUGAUUGUUUAAACUAUAAUACCUAUAUUCUAUAAGAGUUGAUACAGUAAACUACAUAAGCCCCUGUCCUUAAAUCCUGAUUGGUGUGAAAAUGAAGCUGAAAGAAAGAUGAAAUUUCAAGACCUGUAAGUCAUAUAAAGUACUCAGAAAUUUCUGGUUGUUUGUAAGCUUAGAGGCUCCUGGGGCUGAGAACAAAGAAAAACAAACCCGGGCAUUCUUGGGAACAGCUUGACCAAAAAGAUAAAGAGCAAUAUGAGGACAUAACAGGGCUAUCUGAACUGAGUCAACAACUCACAGAACCCUGACCUGCACGUAUUCUUUUGCUGAUGUUUGAAUAAGCCAAUAGUGUGUCACGAUGCUGAGUUCCCCACCCCUAAGCCCUUUACCCCAUAAAAACCCCUAGCUUUCGAGCCUCGGGGUCGAAUCCAGUGUCUCCUGUGUGAGAUUCGUUUUUGACAUGGAGCUCUGUCAUUAACCUACCUCAUGUGUUUACAGUAAGGAGGACUCUUGUGUUUCUUUGGGUGCACUCUCUCUCCCCAGACUAGAGCAGCAGUCCCUGAAAGGGGGUCUUACAAAGCUAUAAUUUUGAAGGAAUGUUUCUGCCUGUCCCUCCCCUUUUUUUUAAAUAUAUAUAAAUGUUUCUUUCUUUUAUUGUUUACUCUUUUUUUUAUACAAUCCACACCUUCUACCCCUUAUCUUAUUCAGAGUUUCUAUUCCUGCACAAACAUCAUGACCAAGAAACAAGUUGGGGAGGAAAGAAUUUAUUCAGCUUACACUUUCAUACUGCUGUUCAUCACAAUGGAAGUCAGGACAGGAACUCAAGCAGGUCAGGAAGCAGGAGCUUAAGUAGAGGCCAUGGAGGGAUGUUUCUUUACUGGCUUGCUUCCCCUGGCUUGCUCAGCCUGCUCUCUUAUAGAACCCAAGUCUACCAGCCCAGAGAUGGUCCCACCCACAAGCAGCCUUUCCCCCUUGAUCACUAAUUGAGAAAAUGGCUGUCCUCCAAAAAAGGAAAGAGCCUGGUGUGGGGGCACACACCUUUAAUCCCAGCACUCAGGAAGCAGAGGCAGGUGGAUUUCUGAGUUUGAGGUAAGCCUGGACUACAAAGUGAGUUCCAGGAUAGCCAGGGCUACACAGAGAAACCCUGUCUCAAAAAAACAAAGGGGGGGGGGCGGAGAGAGAAAAUGCCUUACAGCUGGAUCACAUGGAAGCAUUUCCCCAACUGAAGCUCCUUUCUUUGUGAUAACUCCAGCUUGUGUCAAGUUGACACCAAACUUGUCAGUACAAUUGACCCCUUGUCAACUUGACACACAAAUACAUCACUAGUAAGCCUCAACCCUUAGUUUCUUAUUCAUCCCCAAGAUCUAAACAACUUUAAAUGUCCCUGUCUUAGUUAGGGUUUUACUGCUGUGAACAGAUACCAUGACCAAGGCAAGUCUUAUAAAAAACAUUUAAUUGGGGCUGGCUUACAGGUUCAGAGGUUCAGUCCAUUUUCAAGGUGGGAGCAUGGCAGUAUCCAGGCAGGCAUGGCACAGGAGGAGCUGAGAGUUCUAUGCCUUCAUCCAAAGACGGCUAGUGGAAGACUGACAUCCAGGGAACUAGGGUGAGGAUCUUAUACCCACACCCACAGUGACACACCCAUUCCAACCAGGUCACACCUAUUGCAACAAGGCCACACCUUCAGAUGGUGCCACUCCCUGGUCCAAGGAUAUACAAAACAUCACAGUCCCAUAGUCUUUACAUAUUAAAAGUUCAAUCCUUUUAAAAUAUUCAAUAUCCUUUAAAUUCCAAACUGUUUUACAAACUCUUAACUGUGGAAUCCACUAAAAUAUUUUUUUCCUUCAAAGGGAAAAAAUAUGAGGGCACAGUCACAAUC
rnacentral:lncRNA from 1 species